GCUAAUAUGGCUCAGUUGGUAGAGCACAUCCUUGGUAAGGAUGAGGUCCCCAGUUCGAAUCUGGGUAUUAGCU
rnacentral:tRNA from 1 species